GAUGAACGCUGGCGGCGUGCUUAAUACAUGCAAGUCGAACGGACGAUUUUUGUAGUAAUACAAGAGAAGUUAGUGGCGAACGGGCGAGUAACGAGUUGGUGACCUGCCCCGAAGAUCGGGAUAACAGUCCGAAAGGAUUGCUAAUACCGGAUGUGGUCUACUGGUUUUAGAAGCGGUAGAUUAAAGCAGCAAUGCACUUCGGGAGGACCUGCUUCCCAUCAGCUAGUUGGUGAGGUAAAGGCCCACCAAGGCUACGACGGGUAAGGGACCUGAGAGGGUGGUCCCUCGGCAAUGGCACUGAAACACGGGCCAUACACCUACGGGUGGCAG
rnacentral:rRNA from 1 species